GGGUUGUGAGGUUAAGCGACUAAGCGUACACGGUGGAUGCCCUGGCAGUCAGAGGCGAUGAAGGACGUGCUAAUCUGCGAUAAGCGUCGGUAAGGUGAUAUGAACCGUUAUAACCGGCGAUUUCCGAAUGGGGAAACCCAGUGUGAUUCGUCACACUAUCAUUAACUGAAUCCAUAGGUUAAUGAGGCGAACCGGGGGAACUGAAACAUCUAAGUACCCCGAGGAAAAGAAAUCAACCGAGAUUCCCCCAGUAGCGGCGAGCGAACGGGGAGCAGCCCAGAGCCUGAAUCAGUGUGUGUGUUAGUGGAAGCGUCUGGAAAGGCGUGCGAUACAGGGUGACAGCCCCGUACACAAAAAUGCACAUAUUGUGAGCUCGAUGAGUAGG
rnacentral:rRNA from 1 species